rnacentral:rRNA from 1 species
GACGAACGCUGGCGGCGUGCUUAACACAUGCAAGUCAAACGAUGAAGAAAAGACUCGAAGCUUCGGCAGAAAUUCAUUUCGGAUUAGUGGCAGACGGGUGAGUAACGCGUGAGCAACCUACCUCUUACAAAGGGAUAGCCUCGGGAAACCGGGAUUAAUACCAUAUAACAUUGCGACGAAGCAUUUCGAUGCAAUCAAAGCUACGGCGGUAAGAGAUGGGCUCGCGUCCCAUUAACCGGAUGGUGAGGUAACGGCUCACCAUAGUGACGAUGGGUAACCGGCCUGAGAGGGUGAACGGUCACACUGGAACUGAGACACGGUCCAGACUCCUACGGGAGGCAGCAGUGGGGAAUAUUGCACAAUGGAGGGAACUCUGAUGCAGCGACGCCGCGUGAGUGAUGAAGGAAUUCGUUUCGUAAAACUCUGUUCUAUGGGAAGAAAAGGACUGUACCAUAGGAGAAAGCUCCGGCUAAAUACGUG